GGCUGGUUGGCUCAGUUGGUUAGAGCAUGAUAUUAUAACAUCAAGGUCAAGGGUUCGAAUCCCUAUACCAGCCA